UUAGUAACUGGAAUCCAAACCUACCCUGUCUGACUCCACUCUUGUGGCCUUUCCCUCCCCUCUUCCUAUCUCCUCCAGGAAAAGGUCACCUCUGCAGGCUCCUUGACUGGCUGUCCCACCUCUGCUUGCAUGCCACUGUAACUGGGAACUCAUUUCCUCAUAGCACAACCCUUUCUCCUCUACCUGGGAGAGCUUUUGUCACCCAGAGCUGAUCCACCCCUCUCUUCCUGGUUCUGCCAGACUCUAUACCCUCUAUCUUACCAGAGCCUAGAGACAGAAUCUUCUCUGCCCAGGUUAGAAAACCCCUAUCUUCACUGCUCCUGUGUGUAAUAGGAUUUCCCAGGUGAAACUUAUGAUAAUCAUGUUUUUUUUAACCCCAACAGACCUAAUUGUCUAGCUAUUGUGUGGGAACCCUAAAGGAAGCCAUGGCAUGGGGAGUGGCUCAAAGUGGAGGCUCCUAAGGCUUGGUGUCUCUAGGAGGAAUAUUAAAAAUCACCCUGUUAACCAGUUCAUUCCAUUCUCAUCUGGCCAGCUCAGAUUGGGAGUCCUUUCCAGUAACAUCUCCACAAGGCACUGCUUGUGGAGAUUUGGAAACACUACUGGUCCAUUGGAUAGAGGAAGCACGCUCCCCAUUGGAUUCUUCUUUAUAAUUGGAUGGAGGGCUCUAAUACAGAGAAACUGGAUGCUCUGCUAAUCUAGAGAUGGAGUCUCACUGUGUAACCCAGGCUGCAUGUGCAAGAUUUGGAGUGGACAUCUGUCUUCAGCUCUCUCGGGUAUAUGUCUGGGAGUGGACUUCCUGGGUCAUAGGGUAACUCCAUGUUUAACUUUUUG